rnacentral:rRNA from 1 species
UACGAGGGGGGCGAGCGUUGUUCGGAAUUAUUGGGCGUAAAGGGUGCGUAGGCGGUUCGGUAAGUCUUAUGUGAAAUCUACAGGCUCAACUUGUAGUCUGCAUGAGAAACUGCCGGGCUUGAGUAUGGGAGGGGUGAGUGGAAUUCCUGGUGUAGCGGUGAAAUGCGUAGAUAUCAGGAGGAACACCUGUGGCGAAAGCGGCUCACUGGACCAUAACUGACGCUGAUGCACGAAAGCUAGGGGAGCAAACAGG